UGGGGAAUUGUUCACAAUGGGCGCAAGCCUGAUGACGCAACGCCGCGUGGGGGAUGAAGGUCUUCGGAUCGUAAACCCCUGUCGAAUGGGACGAAUAGCCCGCGAAUUAAUACCUCGUGGGAAUGACGGUACCGUUAAAGGAAGCCACGGCUAACUCUGUGCCAGCAGCCGCGGUAAUACAGAGGUGGCAAGCGUUGUUCGGAAUUACUGGGCGUAAAGGGCGCGUAGGCGGCCAUCUAAGUCAGACGUGAAAUCCCCCGGCUCAACCUGGGAACUGCGUCUGAUACUGGGAGGCUAGAGUUUGGGAGAGGGAUGUAGAAUUCCAGGUGUAGCGGUGAAAUGCGUAGAUAUCUGGAGGAAUACCGGUGGCGAAGGCGGCAUCCUGGACCAAGUACUGACGCUGAGGCGCGAAAGCUAGGGG
rnacentral:rRNA from 1 species